UACGUAGGGUGCAAACGUUGUUCGGAAUCACUGGGCAUAAAGGGCGCGUAGGCGGCCUGAUAAGUAGGGGGUGAAAUCCUGCGGCUUAACCGCAGGGCUGCCUUCUAAACUGUCAGGCUAGAGCACAGUAGAGGCAGGUGGAAUUCCCGGUGUAGCGGUGGAAUGCGUAGAGAUCGGGAAGAACAUCAGUGGCGAAGGCGGCCUGCUGGGCUGUUGCUGACGCUGAGGCGCGACAGCGUGGGGAGCAAUCAGG
rnacentral:rRNA from 1 species